rnacentral:rRNA from 1 species
AGUGAACGCUGGCGGUAGGCCUAACACAUGCAAGUCGAACGGCAGCACAGGGGAGCUUGCUCUCUGGGUGGCGAGUGGCGGACGGGUGAGGAAUACAUCGGAAUCUACUCUGUCGUGGGGGAUAACGUAGGGAAACUUACGCUAAUACCGCAUACGACCUACGGGUGAAAGCAGGGGACCUUCGGGCCUUGCGCGAUUGAAUGAGCCGACGUCGGAUGAGCUAGUUGGCGGGGUAAAGGCCCACCAAGGCGACGAGCCGUAGCUGGUCUGAGAGGAUGAUCAGCCACACUGGAACUGAGACACGGUCCAGACUCCUACGGGAGGCAGCAGUGGGGAAUAUUGGACAAUGGGCGCAAGCCUGAUCCAGCCAUACCGCGUGGGUGAAGAAGGCCUUCGGGUUGUAAAGCCCUUUUGUUGGGAAAGAAAUCCAGCUGGCUAAUACCCGGUUGGGAUGACGGUACCCAAAGAAUAAGCACCGGCUAACUUCGUGCCAGCAGCCGCCGUAA